ensembl:lncRNA
UUCUGAUCCGAGAACAGGGUGUGUUAGUCAAGGUGUGCAUUCACACAAUGCACAUUGUUAAGCAAUUAUUCUGGCUCAUAGUAGCACAUCUGGAGCAAGAGAAUAAAGACAGGUUCGAAACGACAUGAAGACAUGUGAAUUCAAGGUCAGCAAUCUGCUGCAAGAAAUGUUAGGUGUCUUUAGGAUACAUCAGAGACGGGAUACUAGAUCUGUGUUAUCACAACACAUUUUCUGACUGAGCAGACAUUCCCCCUUCUCCAUCUCCUUUCACUCAGGAUCAGAGACGCAGUGGAAGUCAAACCGUCCUAUACAUGACAAGUGUCACAGAUGGGUCACGCUGAACCAUGUUCCCCUCUCAAAACAGCAAGAAUGAAUCAGAGACAGACUGAAUGUGGAUUUGAACUUUAUAUGAAAUAAAUCUGAG